GUCUAUGGCUAUAUCACCCUGAACACACUGGAUCUUGUCUGAUCUCAGAAGCUAAGCAGGGUCGAGGCCUGGUUAGUACUUGGAAGGGAGAAAUUAUCUCAAUUCAAACAUCACAAAAAAUCUGAAAGCCAGCUACC
rnacentral:rRNA from 1 species